GAUUUGGUUUUAGCCGAGCCAUAGAUGUGAAGAGCUUGUUUGCGGGGUGACACUCCCACCUCGGAAUCUUGCUCCUGUGUUCCGGGAGUCAGAGCCCUAUUGGAGCUUGCUGCCGUCCAUCAAGUUGUGGCUAUCAUCAUUUGUUGAAAAGCGGCGAACUAACUUCGACUUGCCUCAAACCCGAAGGAACUACGAAGGAGACGUUUACAGAUAAAGGCGUCUGCUGCCAAGUCUAGAACUCUAAAAAAUUUGAAAGGAGCCAGUAAACACAAAUUUAUCUCACAAGAGAGUCAAACUAGAUCUGCAGGUGCCCUUGCCGAGACUUUGAGUGCCUCUACAGUAGAGGGUACCUGUAUAAAGGAACAAGUAAGCACAUGGUUCUUAAUUGGAUUAAGUGAUGACCCCUUAUUUUUUUAUAAAUGUGCUGGUGUUUUUGUGAUUUGUCAGUAAUAAGAUUAAUUCAUGAAUGCAUUGUGAGUGAUGAAAUGUUGUGCUUAACCCAUAGUCUCUAAACUAAUCUUUCUGUGACCUGUUAAGAAUUUAAAUGUUAGCUUGAGUGGCAAAUUAUCAGUAGAAUUGUAAUGCUUCUAAAAAGGAAAGGCUGAGAAAAUUGGUGAGAUAGUUUGAGGACUAGGCUUAGGCUGGGCCUUGUUCUUAGUUGGGCUGAAGUUGAAUUGCUAAGUACCAAAACUGCUCAGCAAUUCCGUACCAAGUCUUUGAAGUUUUCUUUAAGAACAAAAAAUUUUCAAAUUUAAAAAUAGGAAAAGAUAUGUAGAAAGGGAAAAACUUGUUGGCUUAUUCUCUUUCCUAAUCAUCGAAUACAAAAAACCUUUAUUUAUUUAUAAUAUUGACCUGUUGAAAUCAAAGGUAUAUAUGAGGUUGAAUCAGUCCAGACAGAUGUAAUGUUACACUAGACAGGGGAGAAGAUGGGUGACCAAUUACGUAAGCAGAAAAGUUGCUGGAGUACUUAAUGGUGUGGCAUGACUAACUUAGAACAUUCCAUAAUCUAUAUACCUAAGCUGUGAAGUCGGUGUACUUCAAAUAUGGGAGGUCCUAGGAGUAUAAGCGUAACACCCGCAAUAUAUUGUCUUCUCCAUCUUAUUUGUGUUCCAUUUGAUUUGUAUUUUCUCUGCCCUAUUCCAACAAUGUAAUCAAUUAAAUAGAAGUGUUCCAAUAUAAAAUAAAAAGGGUGUCUACAAGUACCCCAGAACUGUAAUUCCCAGAAUCUAAUAAAAAGCCCCUUCACUGGGAUGAGUUUCGUUUUGUUCAAAUGUGUUUCCGUCUUUGCAAAAGUUGAUGUGCGUAUUUUUGAGCAAACACUUAUUAUGAUUAUGAUUAUUACUAUUAUUACUAUUAUUACUUCUACUAUUAUUAUUAUUAUUAUUAUUAUUAUUAUUAUUAUUAUUAUUAUUAUUAUUAUUAUUAUUAUUAUUAUUAUUAUUGGUGCUGCUGCUGCUGCUGCUACUACUCUUUCUACUACUGCUGCUGCUGUUACUGCUACUGCUAGUGCCGCUGCUGCUGGUGGGUAAGUAUUAAGGUAGUUAUGCCAUCUUGUAUGUCACAAAAUAUUUUUCAGAAAAAUGAAGAUGUUGUGCAUGCUAUUCGUAUAAACAAAGGUAGUUGAGGGAUCCCCAGAACAUGUAUAUGCAUGUAACUUCAUUGACGGGAAUUCUUCUUCUUUGCAUGAGGAGCAAACACCAUCUUUGACAUUGACAAAGCGCCAGAAGCUACACUGGGGGCUCGACACGAAGGAGAGAUGGGAGAGGAAAGCCAACAUGUAAAAUCUCUGUUGAUGGAAGUUUCCAAUCUCCACUAAAAUCAAGGGUGAACUCUGUCUAUGUUAUUGAAUAGGCUUUUCAGAAGCAUGACUUCUGAAAGAAUUUGGAUCCUUCUUCACAAGAUGGGCAGAUAUUGUAAAUAAUGUAUAUGCUAUAUAAAGCUCACAUGCCCUUCAAAGGUGGUCAAGAUUCCAGUUUGUGCUUAUGGAUGAGAGUUAUGGAUUGUCGGAUGUGUAGGGGUGGUUCGAUGUCAAAUGAUCACUUGGAGAAUAUUUUAUUGAAAUUUGGCAAUUUUGGCUGGAGUGUGACAACUUACUGGUUGUUUCAGUGUAUGGGAGAGUUUUCUGUGACAAAGAUGAGGUGCCAAUUUAUUUGCAUUGGCCCAAGCUGUAUGCUGAACUGGUAUAAAAGAUACUGGGGAAAAAGGCUCGGCUUGCGGUUGGUAUUGAACCACAUCUGAGCUUGAAUUUGGCCUGACUUGUGGUGCAUCUUUUUACCAUUUUUAAUUGGUUUCUUAGAAUUCAAGUGAAUUUGGUUAGACCAAGCAAAUAAAAAAACAAGGAUAAUGAGGUAUAUUUGGUCCAGAACUUGCUGGUGUUGUGUACUUGGAUGAUGAUAUCCAUCUUUUAUUGAUGUUGCCACCUCUGGUGAAUUGAUUCUUAUGUAAAAUUUGCUCUUUUUUUAAACAGUUAUCUGUUUAUUUGUAAAUCAGAAAUACUGAACAGAUUACUUAUUGUCGAACUAACAUUACAAUGAAAGUGGAAAUUGCAAUUU